CCCUUAGAUGUUCUGGGCCGCACGCGCGCUACACUGAUGCAUUCAACGAGUCUAAAACCUGCUCUGAUAGGGGUGGGUAAUCUUUUGAAUGUGCAUCGUGAUUGGGAUAGGUGAUUGCAAUUUUUCAUCUUCAACGAGGAAUGCCUAGUAAACGCAAGUCAUCAGCUUGCAUUGAUUACGUCCCUGCCCUUUGUACACACCGCCCGUCGCUCCUACCGAUUGAAUGAUCCGAUGAAUAUCAUGGAUUGAGGAUGCAAGUAGGUUAGCCUAUCUUCAUCUUCGAGAAGUGAAGUAAAUCUUAUCAUUUAGAGGAAGGAGAAGUCGUAACA
rnacentral:rRNA from 1 species